UACGGAGGGGGCUAGCGUUGUUCGGAAUUACUGGGCGUAAAGCGCACGUAGGCGGCUUUGUAAGUUAGAGGUGAAAGCCCGGGGCUCAACUCCGGAAUUGCCUUUAAGACUGCAUCGCUAGAAUUGUGGAGAGGUAAGUGGAAUUCCGAGUGUAGAGGUGAAAUUCGUAGAUAUUCGGAAGAACACCAGUGGCGAAGGACGCACUUACUGGACACAUAUUGACGCUGAGGUGCGAAAAGCGUGGGGGAGCAAACAGG
rnacentral:rRNA from 1 species